rnacentral:rRNA from 1 species
GCAAGUCGACGACACUUCGGUGUGAGUGGCAGACGGGUGAGUAACACAUUGGCAACCUACCCCUAACACAGGAAUAACUCCGAGAAAUCGGAGCUAAUACCUGAUAGUCUUUAAUAUCAUAUGAUAUUAAAGUAAAGUUCCGACGGUUAGGGAGGGACCUAUGGUUUAUCAGCUUGUUGGUAGGGUAAAAGCCUACCAAGGCUAUGACGAAUAGCGGGCGUGAGAGCGCGACCCGCCUCACGGGGACUGAAACACUGCCCCGACUCCUACGGGAGGCUGCAGUCAUGAAUCUUCCACAAUGGUCUAACGACUGAUGGAGCAACGCCGCGUGAAUGAUGAAGCCCUUCGGGGUGUAAAGUUCUUUUCUUAGGGAAUAAUUUUGAAUGUACCUAAGGAAUAAGGGGCGGCUAACUUCGUGCCAGAAGCCUCGGUAAUACGAAGGCCCCGAGCGUUAUCCGGAUUUAUUGGGCGUAAAGCGUCCGCAGGUUGUUGUUUAAGUUCUGCCUCAAAUCUCAGUGCUCAACAUUGAGGCUGGGUGGAAAACUGAACAACUAGAGGAUGGGAGAGGCGAGUGGAAUGGCCGGUGUAGGGGUUAAAUCCGUUAAUAUCGGCUGGAACACCAAAUGCGAAGGCAGCUCGCUAGAACAUUCCUGACACUCAUGGACGAAGCGUGGGGAGCGAACGAGAUUAGAUACCUCGGUAGUCCACGCCGUAAACGAUGGAUACUAGACAUUGGCAGUAUCGACCCUGUCAGUGUCGUUUCUAAAAAAGCUAACGCGUUAAGUAUCCCGCCUGGGGAGUACGGCCGCAAGGCUAAAACUCAAAGGAAUAGACGGGGAUCCGCACAAGCGGUGGAUCACGUGGUUUAAUUCGAUUCUACGCGAAAACCUCACCAAGACUUGACAUCUAACCUAUGUUAAUUUGGAAACAUUUUAUCUUAGUGGUUAUGACAGGUGCUGCAUGGUUGUCGUCAGCAUGUGGUGUGAACUGCACCCUUAAUUGGGGUAACAUGCGCAACCCUCGUGCUGUGUUAAAUGUACACAGCAGACCGCCGGGGUUAACCCGGGGGAAGGCGGGGACGACGUCAAAUCAGCAUGGCUCUUACGUCUUGGGCGACACACAUGAUACAAUGGCCGGUACAAUGGGCUGCCAACCCGCGAGGGGGAGCUAAUCCCAAAAAACCGGUCCCAGUUCGGAUUGGAGUCUGCAACUCGACUCCAUGAAGUCGGAAUCGCUAGUAAAUGCGUAUCAGACACGACGCAUUGAAUACGUUCUCGGAUCUUGUACUCACUGCCCGUCACAUCAAGGGAGUCGGCAAUACCC